rnacentral:rRNA from 1 species
UGGGGGAUAUUGCACAAUGGGGGGAACCCGUCGAUGCAGCGAUGCCGCGUGGAGGAAGAAGGUUUUCGGUAUUGUAAACUCCUGUCGUAAGGGAAGAGGAAGGACUGUACCUUACAGGAAAGCUCCGGCUAACUACGUGCCAGCAGCCGCGGUAAUACGUAGGGAGCGAGCGUUGUCCGGAAUGACUGGGUGUAAAGGGAGCGUAGGCGGGAUGGCAAGUCAGAUGUGAAACCUGAGGGCUCAACCUUCAGACUGCAUUUGAAACUGCUGUUCUUGAGUGAAGUAGAGGUAAGCGGAAUUCCUGGUGUAGCGGUGAAAUGCGUAGAGAUCAGGAGGAACAUCGGUGG